GGAAAUUCUCCGAAUCAUCGGCUAGAAAGUAGCAAUUGAGAGGUUUUCUUUCAAUAAAACCCCGAGAUCUUCUAUGAGCAGUCCACGAAGACGGUGAAGGAGUUGGUGCAGGUUCUCCUGUGUCAACUUUUUCACAAGAGUGAUUAUGGUUGUUUCGAUCUUGGGCUAGAUUCAUUGACUAUGUACAGUUAUUCGACGGGUAUUGGACAGUGAGGCUCGCCUCUCUUUCCUUUACUAACAGAACGGAGAUUACUCUCGG
rnacentral:RNase_MRP_RNA from 1 species